rnacentral:lncRNA from 1 species
AUGCCCGUCAGACCGUUUUAUAUAACCUUGACCUCACUAUUAUCUCACAGGUUAUUCUAUCAGUAAAAGGAGGAUAUGUCCAAUCGGUACAUGUCAUAAGUUUUUAUGUCUAUUUUGUAUGAACAAUAUCUUUAAAAUAAUUUCCCGUUUGUGAAUAAAAGAAAUAAAUGAAAAUAUUAAUGAGAAUUCCACCGGUCAGAACAGUACGAAACAUCCAUAAACAUUUAGACAUUUUAUUUUUAUUUAUUCAAUAGUAAAACACAAUUUGCAAUGUAUAGAUAUGAAAUAAACCGCAG